CCCGUCAUCGUGUUCAUGACAAACCCUAGGUUUCCUCUUUUCUUUGUGCAGAGGCAGUUAGCCUGUGCACCGUUGUGGCCGUUUUUCCUGUCACCAUAGCACCCACGCGUUAGAAUUUAAUUGAAGUGAUUCCCCACCCCUACCUCCCUAACUCGGCAACAUUUCUAAGGGAAGGAUUUGCUGGGGUUCAUUUUUGGAAAGGUCUCUGUGGACAUUUGUUUACUUUGCCCUUGCCCUUGAUAUCAAAACGGCCACCACGGCGCAGCUGACGGGUAAAAGCCUCGCUGCUGAGGGAGCCGCCACAGGAGCACUUAAUCACAGCUUUCCCGGUUCUGCUUUAUAACCCGCCAUCAGCGUAACGAGCGGAGGCUCCGUCCAUUCACGUCACGGCUGCAAAAAUUGAUGUUUGUCCGGGUCUCGUGAGAUCAGAUUGGCCCUGAACCUGACAUGUAGCUGAGGAUGAUCUUGAACCACUGACUUCUCCUGCUGGCACCUCCCAAGGGCUGGGAUUAUAAAUGUAUGCUAUCACACCCACUUGAGGCACACCCAGGGCUUUCUGCUUUGAGGCAGACAAUGAUGCCAGCUGAGCUACAUCCUCUUCGGGCCCAUAGUAUCAUACUAUAAAUUGGUUAUGUAGCAGAAGCCUGGUAAGUGGAUUGAAACAUCAAGAUUAACAUGUGGAGAAAGUGAGUUGGCACAGGAAGACUGGAAUCCUCUCGUGGGCUCCUUCUCGUGAGAAUCCUUCAUCAUACAAACUUGAAAGAGGUGCCUGUGAAAUGAACAGUGCUUUCUUCUGAGAACUGCCAGAGUGUCAGCCGAGAAGCAUAAUGGGUUGGAUCUGGUGGCGCUUUAUGGCCAGAUCCUGUGGGUAGGCUGUUUUAUUUGGCCAGGAAAGUAUUGUUUCAGUGAAUGGAAAUGCUUUAUUGGUGGGCGCACGCCAACGGGUCAGGCUUUGAAAUGAGCGUGUGUCUUAAAUUCAGCAGUCUGUGUCACCUGCUUGGCUCCUGGAGACAAAUGCGUCCUAUACCUUGUAAAAAAGCUGUGCUCGGUGACACACGGGGACACAGCCACGUGACUGAGGGCAGCCUGUGUGCCCAGCACUUUAGGGACAACAGGGUUCUGCUGCUCUCUGACAAGAACACAAUGGAACAACCAAAUCCAGGCAAACAGACACGGGCCGAGCUGCUCUUAGCUCUGAGUGCAUCAACCGCCAGGCUUUGAGGAACGGAAGUUAACUAUCUGCCUCAGGGGAAGGGCCGAGCUGCUCUUAGCUCUGAGUGCAUCAACCGCCAGGCUUUGAGGAACGGAAGUUAACUAUCUGCCUCAGGAGAAGAUUUGUUUAAGAGAAGAGAUACUUUUGAGCCAAGAUUGGGCCAUACAUAAGAUUAGCUCCUUGUUCUCAGCUACUUCGGAUGAAUGAAUCUAAAGAAAAGGAAAGAAAGACUCGGAGCACCCAUUUCUCUUCACAGGGCCUUGAAUCUUUUUCUUCUUUUAACCAAAGUUCAUCUAUUAUUGAAGUUGUAAUAAAGUAUUUAUCAAUGCAUAUAAAAAUGCAGGAAUAACACACUUUUUUCAAGACUGAUAACAGAUAAAAUAUUUAACGGCAAGAUAAAACGGAAACAGGCCCAAUGACUUUUUCUUGAGUUUUAAGUUGGUCUCUGUCUACAUAUGUAUGUGUGUUACUUGUUUUAAAGACAGAGUCUCAUGUAGCCCAGGCUGGCCUUGAAUUCCUGAUCCUCCUGUCUCAUCCAUCCCCAGAGUGUUUGGAUGGCAGGUGUACAUCACCAUACCUGGCCUGGGUUUGAUAGUCAUCUUAUUGAAUAGUUAUCAUAAUAGGCACAACUCUGUGAUCUUAGCACUUGGGAGGAUCAGAAGUUCAAGGUUGCCCUUGGCUACGUAACAAAUUCAAGGCCAGUCUCAGCAGCCUUAGUUCAGCUGUGCAUGUAGGCCAGCCCUGCACUGCCUUUUGAAUCCAGGGUGACCAGAGACUGUUUGCUUAGGAAGCUGGGAGCUCCCGAUCACCAUGGCAGUUGCCAUUAGCAUCAGGGGUAGUGAUAAACAACCCAGUCCCAGCCCCAGCUGAGUUUGUUUGACCCAUUUCGGUUGCUAUCCCAACCAAAAGGCACCACCUUCCACCCCAGACUGCCUUGGGAUUGGCUAUCCCAGAGGGCAAAGUUGAGGGAUGGCAGUGUGGGUGUUGGCCUUGGCAUUGGGCUUCACCCUGUGUUUCUUCCUUCUGCCGCAAGCCUGAAUGAAGGUCACUGUAGGCUCCUUCAGCGCUCAGCCUGGGGAACCAGCCUUACUUGAAUUGGAGCCUUUACCCUGCCGGGCUCUGGGUGGUUACUUGGGAUAGGUUUUAGGUCUAAAUCUCUGUUUCUCAUAAGUGGAAGUGUGUGCUGAGGGCAUUGCUGUGGAAUAAUGCUUUUGUACACUGGUUUAAUAAAACACUGAUUGGCCAGUAGCCAGGCAGGAAGUAUAGGUGGGAUAAACAUACAAGGAGAAUUAUGAGAAGAGGAAGGCUGAGUGGGGAGAUGCCAGCCCGCCAUCCAGGGAGCAGCAUGUAAUGGCACACAGGUAAAGCCAUGGAACAUGUGGCGACAUGUAGACUAACAGAAAUGGGCUGAGUUUAAAUGUAAGAGCUAGUCAGUAAUGAGCCUGAGCUAAUGGCUGAGCAAUUUUAAUUAAUAUAAGCCUCUGUGUGUUUACUUGGGUCUGAGCAGCUGUGGACCAGGCGGGACACAGGAAAACUUUCAGCUACAGGGCAGGGUGAAAAUUUCAUCCCAGCAAGCCCCCCAAGGAUGACUGCACCCACAAGCUUGACUGAAUCCUUGGAACAACUCUAUGAAAUAAGGAUCUCAGCCAUUCCCACUUCACGGAUGAGGCAAUUGGGACAUGGGAGAGGUUUCAUAGCCAAGGCAGAUCUGAGAUAAUAAAACAGUGCG